GCCCCUCCUCCAUGACCUUUGGGACUCUAAUCCGCUUCCGAGGAUUCUCUGUGAACUGUUGAAGGUCCUCUCGAGUUUCUAUGAAAAGAUGCCAAAGAGAAAGUACAAAGUGUACCUUGAACCUCAUUGCAGUUUGGAGAUCCCAAGAUCAACACAUAGGAGAAUAUGUCAUCAAAAUGAGUAUGAGAUGCCAGCAGAUGAAACACGAGAUGGUGUGACCCUGGCAGAUGAGACUCCAACAUUUGAGAUACCGGCAGAUGGGAAUCAUUGUGGAGUGAAAGGUGACCAUGAGAGCUUGCCACAUGAAGAUGAGGUUAGUGCUUUGAAAUAAUUU